CACCUGUAACUCACGUGACCCUGAUUAUUAUUGAAACGAGAACGAGGGCGUCGUGCCUUUAUAAGACUGCGUUAAUGUUUCCGUGGAGUUAUCCCUUCCGUUGUUGUUUAUUGCUUGUUAAACAUGGCGUCAUUUGCAAAGGUGGUUGUGUGUCUCCUCAUUGCUUGUGUCUGUAAUGCAUUCUGUUUUCCGAAGAGAGAUGUGAACUUUAAGGCCUCUGCAGUUGACCGCCAAAGUGAUGAUGUGGUUGUCACCACAACACCCGUUCCCCACAACCAGACCACAUCUGCCCAUACUUCAGCUGGUGGUGGUGCAAGUGAAGAUGCUGUGGCUACUACCCCAGCACCUAAUCCACACAACCAGACCACUUCUGCACAAACUGAAGUUACUGAUGGAGCCAGUGAAGAUGCUGUGGACCUCCAAAGUGAUGAUGUGGUUGUAGCCACAACACCCGAUCACCACAACCAGACCACAUCUGCCCAUACUGAAGCUGGUGAUGGAGCAAGUGAAGAUGCUGUGGCUACUACCCCAACACUAAAUCCCCCAACUACAUCUGACCACACUGCAGCUACCGAUGAUGCAAGUGAGGGUGCUGUGGCUGCCCAAACUGGAACUACUGUAUCCCAUACGACUGAAGUCUGAUUCGACUGCUCCUCUGGUCACAAUGACCUGAGUCACUGUCUGGACUUUUUGCCUCUACAUGUUGACUGCAAUAAAGGACAGAUUUGUUUUUUGAAUCA
rnacentral:lncRNA from 1 species